AGAGCGAACGCUGGCGGCAGGCUUAACACAUGCAAGUCGAACGGAUCCUUCGGGAUUAGUGGCGGACGGGUGAGUAACACGUGGGAACGUGCCUUUAGGUUCGGAACAACACAGGGAAACUUGUGCUAAUACCGGAUGUGCCCUUCGGGGGAAAGAUUUAUCGCCUUUAGAGCGGCCCGCGUCUGAUUAGCUUGUUGGUGAGGUAAAGGCUCACCAAGGCUACGAUCAGUAGCUGGUCUGAGAGGAUGGCCAGCCACAUUGGGACUGAGACACGGCCCAAACUCCUACGGGAGGCAGCAGUGGGGAAUCUUGCGCAAGUGGGGGAAACCCUGACGCAGCCAUGCCGCGUGGAUGAUGAAGGUCUUAGGAUUGUAAAAUCCUUUCAGCGGGGACGAUAAUGACGGUACCGCAGAAGAAGCCCCGGCUAACUUCGUGCCAGCAGCCGC
rnacentral:rRNA from 1 species